AGACCGUGGUAUUGAGCCAGACAAGCAUCAACACAAUAUAUUCGUACCAUUGUCUCCGCCUGUAGAGUCAAGACAAAUGCACGAAACAAACUUUGUCUUGUUUUCUGUUUUUAAAUGCUUAUUCAAUUCAAAUACUGCGACCAUUGGCCUUAUCUUUAUACUUACAGGUAACUUAGUGAAUUCGGACGUAAUAGACAUGAAACUAAGGGACCUUACCUACCCCUACACUCUGAAAGCUAAUGAUGAAUGUAAGAACAAAAACAUGUCAAUGAUUGUGGAAGAUAUAUCUAUUUUA